UAAUACGUAGGUGGCAAGCGUUGUCCGGAUUUACUGGGCGUAAAGAGCGCGCAGGCGGUCGAGUAAGUCGAAUGUGAAAGCCCCCGGCUUAACUGGGGAGGGUCAUUCGAUACUGUUCGACUUGAAGGCAGGAGAGGGCAGCAGAAUUCCCGGUGUAGUGGUGAAAUGCGUAGAUAUCGGGAGGAAUACCAGUGGCGAAGGCGGCUGCCUGGCCUGUUCUUGACGCUGAGGCGCGAAAGCUGGGGGAGCAAACGGGAUUAGAUACCCCGGUAGUCCCAGCCGUAAACGAUGGACACUAGGUGUUGGUGGUAUCAACCCCGCCAGUGCCGUAGCUAACGCAUUAAGUGUCCCGCCUGGGGAGUACGGCCGCAAGGCUA
rnacentral:rRNA from 1 species